rnacentral:rRNA from 1 species
GACGUAGGGCGCGAGCGUUGUCCGGAUUUAUUGGGCGUAAAGAGCUCGUAGGCGGCUUGUCGCGUCGUCCGUGAAAACCUGGGGCUCAACCCCAGGCUUGCGGUCGAUACGGGCAGGCUAGAGUUCGGUAGGGGAGACUGAAAUUCCUGGUGUAGCGGUGAAAUGCGCAGAUAUCAGGAGGAACACCGGUGGCGAAGGCGGGUCUCUGGGCCGAUACUGACGCUGAGGAGCGAAAGCGUGGGGAGCGAACAGG